AUUUUCCCUUAUAAUAAUUUUACAUGUUUUUUUAAAAUAUGGUCCCAUAUUUCAGUUGGAAUCUGGUGAAACUUCAGCACUUUCCUACUGCCACUCUGGUAAAGCUCUUGGCUACAAUCCAGACACACAUACCACUGAACAAAAGGCCAAGGACAGGACGAAGAAACCCCUACACAUAACACACACACACACACAGAGUCCCUGGGUGAACUUUUCUCCAUCCUAAUAAGGUCCUCCUGCCAACUUGAAAUUUCUUUGAACUUACAGAAGAAUUAAGUUUCCAUUAAUUUCAUGUUGGGCACAUGCAGGCCCACAUUGCCCCAGUAACUGACUCUAGACUUUUGUCUGCACUUGUAGUGAACCCACACACAAAUAAAUAUGCACAUAAACACCUGCGUUUGUACGCACAUUCUUCACACUUGAAACCACUCCAAUCGCUGACACCAUUCAUGUUCUCCUAAUUGAGACUCGCUUCUUUUUCAGGUAGUGAGGGAUGAUAAGAAAAGCUGUCCUUCUAAGAACCAAGAGACUGAGAGUUCUCUGAAGAAAUAAAACAAAACCGCAAAUAACAAGAAGAGAGUUACAGAGCAUGAUUUCUGACAUUACUAAAUCAGACAGACUGAUCCAAUCCUCCUAUCACUUGUCACACAAGCCAGCAAACCUGUCAACAGAGCAGUCCACAUAUAUGUGUGUGCGUGUUUUUGUUAUGACCACAGCUAAAACCUCCUGCUGCUAACCCAAAAACCAGAAAUAUCUCCUUUUAAAUGCUAAACAGCCAUUACACAUCAGGCAGUUCCUUUCAUAAAGAUAGUAUUAAGAGAUUUUACAGGAAUUAUCAGUAAAUACAGUGAAUGGUUUACUCUUGCAUAGGUUUCAUCAAUAAUAGUCAAGUGUGGCAAUACAGUGAAUAUUUAUUUAAAAGAGGUGCAGUCUGUAGCCAUCAUUACCAAUGCCACUGAUUUUGAUUGAUAGCAGGCCAUUAUGUCCAGCGUGAGUCCUCGUCUAUUGCUCAAGAGGACAAGGACCUCUGUCUAAACUGAUAAAAAGUGUUUUUUCUCCUCCCUCACAUUCUCUGACAUGAACAAAUCCCUGGAGAUAUUGUGUCCUAGCAAUUUACGGUCUGAAUCCCUCAAAGACGAUAAUCUGCCAAGUGUUUUGUAUCUCCAGAACAAAGGGGCCUUGAUGAGCCAUUCACAACCUUGGCAGAGUAAAGGCAGUGCUCCUUGCUGCUGCUCUCGAUGCCAGACGUGUGUGUGCUGGCAUGACUGGUGUUGGAGGACGAGUGUGUUCUCAGCGGUCGGUGGGGUGUGUUUGUAGGGGUUCGGAAACUGUCUGUGUCGACGCCAGAUGUGCGGGAGCUGC